UCAAUUGAAGGGCAAGUCUGGUGCCAGCAGCCGCGGUAACUCCAGCUCCAAUAGCGUAUAUUAAAGUUGUUGCAGUUUAAAAGCUCGUAGUUCAACCUCGGUUGCGGGCUUGAGAGCCAGCUCGGAGGGGCCGACGCAUCCGCCUGCACCAAGCUUCGGCUUGAGGGCAGGCAGUUUACGUCGAGAAAAUUAGUGUGGUCAAGGUCGGUGUCUCCUUCUAUCCGUGUCUGGAAUAAUGGAGAAAUACCACAGGCCGUUGUUGGUUGGGUGAGGAGUAAUGAUGAGUGGGGACAGGCGGGGGCAUUAGUAUUUCAUUGUCAAUUAUGAAAUUCCGUCGGCUCGUCAAAGAUUGACUACUGCGAAAGCAUUCUUUUGGAUGUUCUCAUUGGUAAAAGGUAAAAGUUAGGGGAGCGGAGGGGACCAGAUACCGUCCUAACCUUAACAAUAAACCAUACCGACUCGGAUUUAAAAGGGCCAAAGAAGCGGGCGGUGCCAGAAAAGUUUUGGUUUUGAUUUUGGGAGAAAAACUUAGGAUUUAAUUCUGUUUCGUUAUCGGUUCCAAAUCCCCCACCCGGGGGCUUAAUUUGACUCAACACGGGGAAACUUACCAGGUCAAAACAUGGGUGUGAUUGACAGAUUGAGUGCUCUUUCUUGAUUCUAUGGGUGGUGGUGCAUGGCCGUUCUUAGUUGGUGGAGUGAUUUGUCUGGUUAAUUCCGAUAACGUCUCAACGCAGACGCUUCUUAG
rnacentral:rRNA from 1 species